rnacentral:lncRNA from 1 species
UCUUUGUAAAUAAUAUAGAUAUCUGUAUGUUUAUUUAUGCAUGUCUAUAAAUUUGAUUGUUUACCUGCACAUUGAUUGUACAUAUUGAGUUUAUAACACAUCGAUUGGACUCAAUCAAGUUUUUUUGCGUUUGUCUGGAUUGUUGUAUAUAUAUUUUUUUAGUUUGAUACAUGUUUUGCUUGUACACCUUACUUGAUUGUUUGUAAAAUUUAUACAGGAGUUUUCGCAUCAGACGUUCUGAUGCUAGCGUUGCAAAUAGUAAAACAAACUCUCCUGUGAAAUGUUUACAGUUCUGUAUAUAUGAGUGUGUUUAUCGCAUAUAUUUUGCAGUUAUACAUGUAGUCGAUUUUAUUUUCUAGACACAAACUUCAUAAAAUUU